ACCCGCUGAACUUAAGCAUAUCAAUAAGCGGAGGAAAAGAAACCAACAGGGAUUGCCUCAGUAACGGCGAGUGAAGCGGCAAUAGCUCAAAUUUGAAAUCUGGCUUCGGCCCGAGUUGUAAUUUGUAGAGGAUGCUUCGGCUUACGUACCGGUCUAAGUUCCUUGGAACAGGACGUCACAGAGGGUGAGAAUCCCGUUUGUGGCCGGCACUUCCGCCAUGUGAAGCUCCUUCGACGAGUCGAGUUGUUUGGGAAUGCAGCUCUAAAUGGGAGGUAAAUUUCUUCUAAAGCUAAAUACCGGCCAGAGACCGAUAGCGCACAAGUAGAGUGAUCGAAAGAUGAAAAGCACUUUGGAAAGAGAGUUAAAAAGUACGUGAAAUUGUUGAAAGGGAAGCGCUUGCGACCAGACUUGCCCGCGGAUGCUCAACCGGUCCUUCGGCCGGUGCACUCUUCCGCGGUCAGGCCAGCAUCAGUUCGGGCGGUCGGAUAAAGGCCUUGGGAAUGUGGCUCUCUUCGGGGAGUGUUAUAGCCCUUGGUGCAAUACGGCCCGCCUGGACUGAGGCCCGCGCUUCGGCUAGGAUGCUGGCGUAAUGGUCGUAAGCGGCCCGUCUUGAAACACGGACC
rnacentral:rRNA from 1 species